rnacentral:misc_RNA from 1 species
UGUCGCUUCCAUGAUAUCCAAUGACGACGUUUGUUUGGCUCAGCUGAUAUAUUCAUUGCAAAUAACGCCAUUCGUUGUGUUUAUUUUGUUUGAGAUUUAAUUAAAAAAAUGUCGCAGCAAAGAUCUUUUAAAGAAAGACGAACUUUUGCUCAGAGAAAACAAGAUGUAGAACUAAUAAGACAACAGCAUCCAAAUAAAAUACCUGUCAUUAUUGAACGAUAUCAUGGAGAGAAACAAUUGCCACUUCUUGAUAGAACAAAAUUUCUUGUUCCAGACCAUGUUACUGUUGGAGAAUUAGUUAAAAUCAUUAGAAGACGACUCCAGCUGCAUCCAAAUCAAGCUUUUUUUCUUCUUGUUAAUCAGCACAGCUUGGCACCAGUAUCGAUGACAAUGGGUGAACUUUUUGAAAGAGAACGCGAUCAGGAUGGCUUUCUGUAUACUGUAUAUGCAUCGCAGGAAGUUUUUGGUUGACUUUUUGAGCUCUUCAGAUUUAAGAGACUCCAGGACGACUUUAGAAAUAUUAAAUUUGUGGUUUAUCUCAAGUCGUCUUGUAAAUUUGGACCAAAAUAAAAAGUAGCUUGCAUCAGUGAAGAACUGUGAUGUAGAUGUCCAAUAAUUCAAAAAGUUUUCAUUUACUUUUUGUAUGUAAAGGAAAGGACUUUUUGAAAUAUAUGAUUAAAAAAACAAUGCUUUCAUUAGAAACAAGUAGCUACUUUUUUUGAUAGAACAGUAUCAAGAAAUCAAUUUUUAAUAUAAAUGCUUCACCACAAUACAAACAUCUUAAUAGAUUUUUACUAGUGAAAAUCAAGAAUGUUUUUGUGUGUAGAGUUAAGUUUGUACAGUAUAGUAACUAAUUUUGAUGUCUCCCUACCCGUUUAAAUAUAGAAAAUCAUAUCAGUUGUAAAAUUAUCAUCUGCAAUCAUUUAACACAUUGAUUCUUGGUUGAUUAUAGUAACACAAUAUAAAAAUAAAAAAAGGAUUUUAUAAAUGCCAAGAGAAUAUUUUCCUUGUAUUUUUAUGGUUAUGAUAAUAAAGUGCAAUGUUUAGUUAAAA